UUAUAUAUAUAUGUAUAGGGAGAGAUCAAAUGGAGUUGAAGGCCAAGGGGGAAGGCUUUGUAUACAAUAUUCAGAGGGCAUCCAGGGAAAACUCCCACAAUCUUAACCCUACCCCCCUAGGUCAGAAAAGGUUGGGUGAGGUUAGAAAAGGAAUAUAAAUAUGAGUUUUGUAAUUAAGAGGCAGAUCUGUCCUUUUGACAGAAUGGGAAUUAAUGAAGGUAUGAUCGGUUAAGAGACCAUCGGCGUCGGCGCCGGUGGAGGAGGAGAAAGGUGGGUUGGCAUGCAUGGGAUCUGUCAUUUUCUUUUCUUUAAUACUUAAAAAUUGACUUUUGAAAAAGAAAAAUCAGAUUAGAUAGAAAUGAUUGGUGAGAUAAUCUGUGGGAAUUGACAAACCCUAAACCAAAAUACACUGAAUAAUUAAUGCCAACUAUAAUCAUUGUGUUCUAUUUAA